GCCUUUCGCCUUGAUAACACUGGGAUAUCUACAGGAUCUAAUAUUUGAUAGGUUGGACAGCAGGCAAUAGAGGGAUAGAAUUAUUGUGAGACCUGAAGGGUGGCAGUGAUUUUGGUUCUUCAAAUAAGAAGAAAUACUUAUCCAAUAGAGAUUGAACUUCAGGUGGAUAAGUAUGUAUAGAAAAAAAAUUCAGAAGAUUCAGAAUUUACCUCCUGCUGUUCAGAAAACUGAAUACUAAACAAACGAGUUUGGAAAAAUCUGACCCCUGCUUCUGUAAAAGCCUUUGCCAACUAUCACAAGGAAGCAACUGCAAUGGAGAUGCUGCAUCAUUAAACCCUUGCAAUUCUACAAUCAUCGCAUCCAUCUGAAACCUAACCAAUCUAGCUUCAAAAUCAAACAUGUUGGGAUUAGAGCUUCUCAUCCAAUCAACUCCA
rnacentral:misc_RNA from 1 species